CCAACCAAAAACUACAAAAAAGGUUACCAUUUUUAAGCAAAAUGUAGUAAAAAAAAGUUGAAAAGGGAUUGUAAAUGAAUUACUGCUUGAAAUCUGACACUCCUUAGAAUUGUGAAUAGAUUCAGUUCUUGAGCUACUCUGUGCCUAAUUUGCUUCUGUGAGUGAGGGAUUAUGCAAUACAAUAGGUUAAACUUCUACAGACCACUCUAAUUUGUUUUGCAGAAGAACAGAGAAGGAAGGGAGGAACUCUGUUUAUCAUGUUAUGAUCGAAAGCACAAUACAGUAGAAAUUUUCUGUGAAGAUAUGCUUGAAAACUAAUUUGCUGUAUGUUUGUUUCCUCUCUUCUCUGCAGCUGUUCAAUUACAAACUUACUGCUGGUCAGAAAACCAAAUAUCUAUUCUCUAGGGUAGCUACAUUGUACUCCAGUGUUUGAAGAUUUGGUUUCUGUUAUAAUUGGACUGAAAUAUUGAUUUUUUCUAAAGGAAUUCUCCCAUGCCUCCAUCUGAAUGCUAGUUGAACUUGUUUAUGUAUGUAUGCACUGUGUUUAUUAUAUCCAUAAUAUAAACCUGAAAACAAAAUUAAUUGCACGUAUGGAGGCAAAAAAAUUAAAUCAUACAGAAAAGAUCAAGGAAGAAUUUGUUAAGAGCAAAAUGAAAAAGUCAUAGGGUUAGUAUUAGUUAAAUUUUCUUGUUUGCUUUUCACAAGUCUAUGCAUAUGUCCUUUAGAAGGACAAAUAAGCUUUGAGGAGAAAAACACUUGUAGACUGACUAUUAACCAAAAGGGUGGGUGAACUUCCCUCUUAGAAGUCUCCAAAUAUUGCUGUAGAGCCCUUCAGUGAGGGGAAACCUGUGGGGCCACGGGUGGGACGAGGACUGCUCAGCUUGGUGCUGCCAGCUGCAGUGUGGAACGCCUUGGGCAGGACCAGCCUCUCCCGUGUGCUGCUUCCAGAGGGGUGCUGGCUUCAGUUUUUGUCUCACACGUGUACCUAGAGAUCGACUGGUCAUUGUUUGUUACCUCGGAGAAGAAACUACAGCUGCAGUGACAAGGCAUGGAGUUGUCUCGUUUUGCCACUGACUUAGCAAUUCAUUAUUUCCAUGGCUCUGUUUAACUACUGACAACACUUAGUGAUCUUGGAGGAGUGAAUGAAACACAGUAUGUUCUAAAUAUUGAUAUUGGUAAUGAUAUGCCAAUGUGUAGUAAGACAGAACAGUUUCAGAUGGAUAUGCAGAACAGGAGAAAAUCUGCUGCAUUACCUAUGGAACAGGACAAUGGGACCCCAAUGAGUCACCCUAUUCAUAUAUUUUUGGAGCCCAAAAGAAUUGGUUUGACUAUCUACAGAUUAUAACAGUUGGUAGUUGAAUGUUUUAUUUUCAUUCCCAGUUGGUACAAUAUGUUCACAGCUGAUGCUAAUGGCUUGCCCAUUUGAUAUCACAUAUGGUCCACUAUUUGGGUCUCCUAAAGCUUUCUUUUGUGGUCAAGCUGCUUUCAAACUUGUGUAUGUUUAGGUUUGUUCUGUCUGCUGGAAAGGUGAAUACAAAUCUCAGAAACUGGGCAGCUUUUUAGUAACUCAGUAGUUUCUUGAUAAAGAUUCAAAGGAUUUGAGACUAAAUGUCCCAUAAAGAAUAUUUUUAUAUAAAAUUGAAUAAAUAGACAUGUCUUACAAUGUCAUGUGAAAUUCUGAAAGAAAUAUCUUUCCUCUUUCUUUGUGUUUGAAGCUGUGAUUGAGUUACCCUCCAGUGUAUGGAUACCACUGAGCAUCAUCAGGACUGUUUUUGCUGGGUAUUCAGUUGUUUUGGAAACCAAUUUAUGCAUAAUUUGUAUCACUUAAAUUGUAGUUUGUAUUUUUAUUUGAAUAUUACUGUUAUGAUAGUGUUUUGUGAAAAGAUGUAAGGCAGCAAAUUAAUUUUUUUUUGGUUUCUAAAAUAAGAGCAUAGGAAAAGUGAACUAAAAGAAUAUGGGUACAGAAAUUAAAAUUACAAGCCUGUCCAAAGUUCUUCUCCUAUGAUACAAAGUGUUUAUACUGACUCUGAAACAUAACUGAUAAAGCCACAAUCUCAUAAAAAGAUUAUUUCCAAAACUAUUGCAUUACCCUCUGAGAGCUAAAAUUCUCAUUUAUUUGUAGGAGUAGAUCAUAAUAGCUCUAAUUCCCUGAGAAGUGGGCAUUGUAUGAUAAUUAGGCAGGAUAGUACAUUAAUCGUCCUCCACUUCACCUCUAGAUGUUUAACGCCUUAUCUAGUCAACCAGCAAACAAGAAUGCUCACUUAUUUGCGCCUUUUAACUAGGUAAUUUAUUUGAAAUAAAGCAGAAUGAGCAUUUUCAUGUGAAAAGGGCAUUGAAAUGAUGUUAGAUUACCAUUACUUAAUACCAUUAGGUGAAAGGAUGCAGGUCUUCUGGUUGUAUUUUUUAGCCAUGCAACUUUAGCUGAGUAAGAGCAAUGUGAUUUUGCAUCCAGGAAUAUUUCUCUAACUAAUGGGAGAGAUUUAGCAGUUUUUGCCACAUGGCUUCUGCUUUCUGCUGGCCUCGUUCUCACUGAUCCCUGUUAGGAGAUCAGGUACACGUGUAUUGGAAGUGUCACCUGUGCCUGGGACAUCUGGCUUCUGGUGCUGGAUUAAAUCAGGCAUCUGGUGAUAAGACAGAGGCUCCGUCUUGUUCAGUUUCGGGGGAAAUAGUGCAUAUUGCUGGUUUAGCAAUAUGCAAUCCCCUGGAAGGAGAUUGAAAUGGAACUAAAGUAGGAGACUCUUUCAAGUUAAUCAAGUCAAUAUUCAACCUGGAGUACAAGGGAAAGAAAAACCCAACUAAACACAAUGUUUUUGCAAACAAAACAAAUAGAUGAGAAGUAAUAUUCUGUCCUCUAAUAUGAGCAGUUUCAGGGACUUAGAAAAUGACAGAAAACUUUAGCAUGCUAAGAAGUUCAUUUGAAAUGUCUUUAAAAAAAGGACUAAGGGAAUCAAAUUAUUAAUGAAUUAUGUCAGGAUUGGACUGGGUGCCUGAUGAUGUGGUAAAAAGUAUUUCUUAGACAGGACUUGGUCAAAAUUUGGUGAAAUUUUGGGUACUCUGACUGUACCCAAGAGAGUUAAAGAAGUUAGUGAUGUUGUUGCUCCCAACUUAUUAGAUAGAAAUUGAAGAUUAUGCAAGAAGAAUUUGGAUUUAUUGGAUGCAAAUUAGGUUAUAUUCAGGAAAGAAUAUAUUUCUCAUAAGUAGCAGAACUAAGUGUUAGGAACUAGAAACAAUACUGUUGAAAAAUUAUUUUUGGGGUCUUAUAAAUAAAUCACAAGCCCACAAGACACCAGGAGCAGUAACUUGUUUGACUGUGGGUGUCUGUCAAAACAAGAGUGUAACAAUACAAAAGUGGUCAUAGCUUGGGUAUCCUGUGACACAGGAUAUCAUACAGCAUAUUCGCAUAUGCCCAUCAGAUUUGGGGUGGCUAAGCCUGCUCUGAGCACACUGUGCUAGUCUGGGCACGGUGCUGCAGCUGUGCCAGCAGCACUGGUACACGGCUGAGUAUGGCAGAGCAGCAGGGAACUGCAGAGACAGCCCUGUUGCUCAUCGUGGAGGUGCUGUGCCUUGUGCCCUCUCUAACACCAUGCCACCGUCUCCAGAGGCAGUCACAGCGUGUCCCUGUGUGCUGGACAUCAUGUCCUUCCCUCUGCUGUGUUGACUCUGGCCUCACUGUGGCCUCGGAGCAUUUGCUGCAAAGUUGCAGGACGCUCAUGUAAAGGUGGGUUUUGCAGUGUAUUGUCCAUGUCAAGGGGAUUCUGUUGGAAAGAAGUGUUACACUGAUUCUAAUCUCUGACUAAAAAGAUAAGUUGUGAUUGGUACAAGGAGAAUUAUGUACUUCCUUGGGGACUUAAAAUUUUUUAAAAUAAUAACAAUAACAAUUAUUAUUAUUAUUAUUGUUAUCAUCAUUAUCAUAGUUAUUGUUAUUAUAUAAUCCAAAACGUGUGAGUGCUUGGGCAGAAGCAUCUUCGUGUGGUGCCUCCGUUCUCUCUGUCCCGUGCAGCUGGAAUGAGUGGCAGUGUUGGGCACUGCCCUGCCCUCGGGGGCUCCUGCCAGCACACAUCAGCAGCCUGUGCUCCUGUGCCUUCUCAGCUGGAGGCUGGUACCCACCAUAGGCCAGUGGGUAGUGGUCAAGGGCCAGGGGUGAAACUGUAGGUAAGACCCUUCAAAGAGCCACCAGAAUACAGACCUCACUCUCUGCCCAACAAAUUAUUUUCUUCCCAAAGCAAUAAGAUCUUUGUAGCUCUCCACUAAAUAUACUUUCUUCUUGUUUUGACAGAGGAAGAGCCUGAGGCUGGAGCUUGCCGAGAACACCAUGUGGAAAUGAUCUGAAGAGGAUUCAGCUAAAUGGUUCCCACUGGCUGCUUUAAAGGCCCAAAGCCUGUGACCAUGUGAAAUGCAGGAAAGCAGAGCUUUGGCCAUCCCUUCAACUUCAGCUCUCCUGUAAGGCUGCCUCUCUCCUCACCAGGGCCAAAGAUAAAAGGACUCGAUACUUCGGAGGAACUUUGCCUCACAUGGUUGUAGAAUCAGCAGAGUGCUGGAAACAUCUCUCAUCUUGUGUGGAGAGAUUCAGUCCUAUACCUGAUGGGAAGGAGAAGGGAGCAGUUUUCUUUGGUCUUGGAAACCCAAGGACAUCAUUGUCUCGGGCUGGAAGAGGUGUUAAGAACUGGAACUUGUCCUUUCGAUUGACUUUUUUGCUGUGAUGUGGAGGAGAUGCAGUCCAUGUUCUGCAACUGCUAUGAGAGACCUUCUCCCAUGCCAGAAGAUCUCCUCCCUCUCCGACACUUGGCCUGGUCUAGCCUGCUCCCAUCUCCAUGAGACUCUUCCUGUUCUUGCCUAGCCCCAGACCUUGGUGGGGUCUGUCAGCCUGAAUCUUUCACCCUUCCAGGCAGGUGGACAGGUCCCGGGGGAUGCAGCUGCAGGCCCAUGACCAGCUCUGCCCACCUUGCGGGGGAAUGACCAGAGAAACUCCUGAUACCUGAACUCACCUCUUUUGGUCAGAGGUAUGAAAGGAGAAGCAACAUAUCUUUCAGAAAAAAAGAAUGAGAAUCAUCUACCUCCUGUUAAGUCAUUCUUCAGUUUUGUUAAAUUGAUCAUCCCUUGCUUUUAUUUUGUGCCCUGUCCUGGGCAUGGAUGGGGCACCCUGGUACAAUAUUUGUUAGACUCUUGAGGUAUAAAUGAAUCAUUGCCCUUAAUGGAGUUCUUACUUUAAUAUUUUUUUAAAUAUAGAAGUAUAUAAAUUUAUACAUGUGUAUAUGUGUAUAUAUAUGUGUGUAUCACCAUUCCUUUCUAGAAAAAGGAGUGAAAUAUGUAUGUUAACACAUAUCACUGUGAAAAACUUUUCUAUGUCAACAAGACCUUAAAUAUAGUGAUCAUGUUGCAAUUGACCAUGACAAUUCACCUGAGAAUUAUAUUGUCAUCAUAUGAAAUAGAAUUAAAGUGAAUGAAUGAAGACUACAGUACCCUGAACUGAGCUCCUGGGAUUAACUAAAGGACAAGAGCUUGUAAAGCCAACAGUUGAGGUUCUUCAGUGUAUAUUGUAAAUUGCCAUCUCAUCAGAUAAACUUAAAAAGAUCUCUAUCAUCUCCUGCUAGUGGUCCCUGGAGAAUAGAUGGUCAAAAAGUGAACUGUUUUUCUGGUUGCAUAUCACAUCCAAUUCUUGAGUCUGUGCACUGCCUACACAACCAUUCUUGUU